rnacentral:rRNA from 1 species
GAUGAACGCUGGCGGCGUGCUUAACACAUGCAAGUCGAGCGAAGCACUCUGCUUUGAUUCUUUCGGGAUGAAGAGCAUUGUGACUGAGCGGCGGACGGGUGAGUAACGCGUGGGUAACCUGCCUCAUACAGGGGGAUAACAGUUAGAAAUGGCUGCUAAUACCGCAUAAGACCACAGCACCGCAUGGUGCAGGGGGUAAAAACUCCGGUGGUAUGAGAUGGACCCGCGUCUGAUUAGCUAGUUGGUGGGGUAACGGCCUACCAAGGCGACGAUCAGUAGCCGACCUGAGAGGGUGACCGGCCACAUUGGGACUGAGACACGGCCCAAAACUCCUACGGGAGGCAGCAGUGGGGAAUAUUGCACAAUGGGGGGAAACCCUGAUGCAGCGACGCCGCGUGAGCGAAGAAGUAUUUCGGUAUGUAAAGCUCUAUCAGCAGGGAAGAAAAUGACGGUACCUGACUAAGAAGCCCCGGNUAACUACGUGCCAG